AUUGAACGCUGGCGGCAUGCUUUACACAUGCAAGUCGAACGGCAGCGCGGGCUUCGGCCUGGCGGCGAGUGGCGAACGGGUGGGUAAUACAUCGGAACGUGCCCAGUAGUGGGGGAUAGCUCGGCGAAAGCCGGAUUAAUACCGCAUACGACCUGAGGGUGAAAGCGGGGGAUCUUCGGACCUCGCGCUAUUGGAGCGGCCGAUGGCAGAUUAGCUAGUUGGUGGGGUAAAGGCCUACCAAGGCGACGAUCUGUAGCUGGUCUGAGAGGACGACCAGCCACACUGGGACUGAGACACGGCCCAGACUCCUACGGGAGGCAGCAGUGGGGAAUUUUGGACAAUGGGCGAAAGCCUGAUCCAGCAAUGCCGCGUGUGUGAUGAAGGCCUUCGGGUUGUAAAGCACUUUUGGCGGGAACGAAAAGGACUGUGCCAAUACCACGGUUCGAUGACGGUACCCGCAGAAUAAGCACCGGCUAACUACGU
rnacentral:rRNA from 1 species